rnacentral:ncRNA from 1 species
UUGAUAGAGGCGCAACAUUUAAGAGUAAGCACUUUUAGUGGAUUAGGCUCCUAUAUGUGUCUAAAAGGAAAUGUUGCCGAAGUUGUAUUUAUAGCCUAAAUAAAUAUUGCUGGGUCAUUGCAAAAUAUGUAAUGGACUGUCACUUAUGUGGAGCGCUAUCU